rnacentral:rRNA from 1 species
GACGAACGCUGGCGGCGUGCCUAAUACAUGCAAGUAGAACGCUGAAGGAGGAGCUUGCUUCUCUGGAUGAGUUGCGAACGGGUGAGUAACGCGUAGGUAACCUGCCUGGUAGCGGGGGAUAACUAUUGGAAACGAUAGCUAAUACCGCAUAAUAUUGACUAUUGCAUGAUAGUCAGUUGAAAGGUGCAACUGCACCACUACCAGAUGGACCUGCGUUGUAUUAGCUAGUUGGUGGGGUAACGGCUCACCAAGGCGACGAUACAUAGCCGACCUGAGAGGGUGAUCGGCCACACUGGGACUGAGACACGGCCCAGACUCCUACGGGAGGCAGCAGUAGGGAAUCUUCGGCAAUGGACGGAAGUCUGACCGAGCAACGCCGCGUGAGUGAAGAAGGUUUUCGGAUCGUAAAGCUCUGUUGUAAGAGAAGAACGAGUGUGAGAGUGGAAAGCUCACACUGUGACGGUAUCUUACCAGAAAGGGACGGCUAACUACG